rnacentral:rRNA from 1 species
GAAGGCCAUCCUAAGAGAAUUGAGCAAGACUCUCAGAGGAAUAAUAUAGAUGCACCUAGUCCUUCUAAAAAGAAGAAAAAGAAAAAUGAUAGGACUUUGCAUGCUUCUAGUGAACCUGUUGUAGACACACCUGAGAAUCCCAAUGAUAUUUCUAUUUCUGAUGCUGAAACACAAUCUGGUAAUGAACAUGAACCUAGUGAUAAUGUUAAUGAUAAUGUUCAUGAUGAUGCUCAACCUAGCAAUGAUAAUGAUGUAGAAAUUGAACCUGCUGUUGAUCUUGAUAACCCACAAUCAAAGAAUCAACGUUAUGAUAAGAGAGACUUUGUUGCUAGGAAGCAUGGUAAAGAAAGGGAGCCAUGA